rnacentral:ncRNA from 1 species
AUCAACUAGGUCUGUGGUUGAAAAUCGAUGCUAGUCGCAGGCAAAACGAUCCACGUAAGUUAGACAAAAGUCUGAUGAGCAUGGUGCGGUUUAGAGGUAAGACCUGCCGAAUUUUAAUUCGAGAGGGGUAGUAGUGAGAGGAAUACACCUUAGGCGAACCCCCCAGCAGGCGAGUGUGGGGGCAAAGACCAGGUCAGCUAGUUGAA